AUUGAACGCUGGCGGCAUGCCUUACACAUGCAAGUCGAACGGUAACGGGCCUUCGGGUGCCGACGAGUGGCGAACGGGUGCGUAAUACAUCGGAACGUGCCCGAUCGUGGGGGAUAACGAGGCGAAAGCUUUGCUAAUACCGCAUACGAUCGACGGAUGAAAGCAGGGGACCGCAAGGCCUUGCGCGGGCGGAGCGGCCGAUGGCGGAUUAGGUAGUUGGUGGGAUAAAAGCUUACCAAGCCGACGAUUUGUAGGUGAUCUGAGAGGAUGAUCAGCCACACUGGAACUGAGCCACGGCCCAGACUCCUAAGGGAGGCAGCAGUGGGGAAUGUUAGACAAUGGGCGCAAGCCUGAUCCAGCCAUGCCGCGUGCAGGAUGAAGGCCUUCGGGUUGUAAACUGCUUUUGUACGGAACGAAAAGCCUUCUUUUAAUACAGGAGGGUCAUGACGGUACCGUAAGAAUAAGCACCGGCUAACUACGUG
rnacentral:rRNA from 1 species